ACGAAGGGGGCUAGCGUUGUUCGGAAUCACUGGGCGUAAAGCGCACGUAGGCGGCUUGUUAAGUCAGGGGUGAAAGCCUGGAGCUCAACUCCAGAACUGCCUUUGAUACUGGCAAGCUUGAGUGUGGAAGAGGUUGGUAGAAUUCCGAGUGUAGAGGUGAAAUUCGUAGAUAUUCGGAAGAACACCAGUGGCGAAGGCGGCUCACUGGACCGGUAUUGACGCUGAGGUGCGAAAGCGUGGGGAGCAAACAGGA
rnacentral:rRNA from 1 species